GGAUCUCUGGUUGGAGAUCCCUCUUUGGUGGAGCUUUCCUCUGUGAGCCUGGAAUCUUCUGAUGUGGAUUUGUCCACAGGGAUUAUUUGCCGGAGGGGAAUUGUGACAUGCAGGACUGUAAUUCCUGAAAUCCUGAGAAAGAUGAUCAUUUAGAGAAGUUUAGAAUGGUGAAAAGGCAAAACUAAUCAGUAAUGCUGACCAGUAUAGCCGGGUUUGGUGCUGGACAUUCACUGCUGACAUCCAUCCUGCAGCCGGGGAGACUUCAAGGCAAUGAUUUUUCUAAAGGAGAAUUUCCAGUUAAGAUUUUCUGAGUGGAGAGGGAAAUAAUUUGGUGUUCCUGUUUUGUAGGGUAACACAGAAAGGUAAUCACAGAAAGGCAGAGCAUCAGUUCUGCUCAGGUUUGCUGUGUGCUGGGAGCUUUUCCUCAGUUGUACAUAGAAGAAGACAUGAAGAAGCUAGGUUCAUCCAUUCCUUGAAUUUCUUCCUAGAAUUACACUGUAAAUGUUUUCCAACCACCCCAUUGUCUGGACUUAAAAUAAAUUUGGUAUUUUUAGUCUGGGUUCCUUCCAUCUUCUGACCACUGAAAGAAUAUUUGACCUUUUCUUUUCUCUACAGAGAACACGCAGAACAAAAAUGGGUUGCGUUUUAUUAUGGUAAUAGCUUUGUUUCAACUGCCUUUUAAAGCAUGGUGUGUAUGUCUGUAUCAAUUCCUGUAAUUUAUUAUUCCUGAUUUCCCCCAGGCAUCGGAACAGUUUUUCUUUCUAAUGUCUCAUUGCACGAGCUGAUACUGUGAUGAUAAUCUGCAGUUUUACAGCACCUUUGCACUGAAACAGUCACAAAUAGCCCACGUGGAUCUGUAUCACAUUGCCCGCUUUUCUCCAGAAGUGUUGGCUGUCUUUGGCAGCUCAGCGCAUUUCCAAUGGCCGCAGCCCAUCUCUGCAGCAGUUCUGUGCCCCUCAGCAGCUCUGUCUCUCAGUGGGAGUCAGGGGUUGGAUGGCACCGUCUGGAGGAGCGCCGUGGGGCAGGCAGAGCUCAGAGGCUUUGGUUGUGGCUGCACAGCCAGCCUGGCAGCGCCAGCAGUGCCUCCUGCAGUUUGUUGUGCCGCUGCGAUGUGCGGAGUCCUGCAGCUGUGUCCUGGGGAGGUCUGGGGCUCGUUGUGUGCCUAAACUGGUAAUAAAUAAAUAAUAAUAAUAAAAAAUUGCAGCUGCUGUCAGAAUGAGCAAGAGAAGUCUCUAUUGCUGUGUAGAUGAGGGUUUUUUCUCCCCCUCGGCUUUCAUCUUGUUUCUGAUGAGCGAAGGCAUCUCUCUGUGCCUGCUUCACACAACAGUUUCACAGCUGGGUUCAUGAAACUCGUGUGUGCAGAACUGCAACAAACCCACGCUUCCCGUUGGUUGUUUUCUUAGUUCUUUAAUGGAGAAAUUUGUUUGUCAGGUGUACUUGGAAGUCCACAGUCUGGGCGUGACUUUAAUUAUUUGUGGGCUCUGAGUGGUGAAUACUUGUAAAGGUUUUCUUUUACUUAUUUACUUUUAUUUUAAUGUGUCC